GAACCUUCCUCAUCCUUUCAGACUACAAAUAACGCUUGUCCCAAUCCUUCUUUCCAGGAUUUAUUGCAAUUGGUGCGGGAAGAACAAAUGAACCCUCGCAGAAACAACCUCCAGUAGAUAAUGAUACGAAUGAUAUAGUCCCUUUGCAGCUGCCAUACGAACAAUCAAGUGUGAUUUUGAACUGUUCCACAUGAUUUUUACCAUUGUAUCACCUUGGGCCACCACUGAAUCUACGGUCACCCACGACAUUGCUGUUCGGAUUUUUCGAUUAAUGGAUGCUGAUGAUGAUGGUUAUUUGAACUUCCGCGAAUUAGUCAGUUGUCUGGGCUUAACUUGUUCGGCAUCAGCAGAAAGGAGACUGAAGUUGCUGUACAUAUCCACUUACCGCCUCUUCUUUCGAAGCUAGACAUCGGAUCAACUCGUUCCUUAUUUUCAGAUUCUGACACUGAUGUAGCCUCCGAAGCUGUUGAAUUCUUCAAUGACCAGUAUUCAGAACAAAAGAUAAACACUACAACUUUAACAACCAUUCCUGAACAAACAAACAAUUCAAUGCAACAGUAUUCAUCAGGUAUGACUUUCCAUUGUAUGAUGAAGUCAGACGCUUACUCGCCACUAAAUCAUCCCAUCCUUGAGUAACAAAUUUUCAUCGCCAAAAAACUUAAAAAUGAUAACACUACUCAGGGGGUGUUCGAUAAAAAUGUUGGUACAAUAACACCCAUAACUGUUUGAAAAAAAAAAAUAAGAAGCUUUAAAGUUAACAGUUCAAAAAACCUAGCUUUAAAGAAAUUGCAUGACAAAACUGACCAUAGUACUUGAAUAUUCAAAAUUGAAGUAUUGGUAUCAUCGCUUUUAGUUUUUUCCCCCAUGAGAGGAAAGUUUUUUUUAAAAUUUGGCACAAAAAUUCUCCACAAUGUUGAACCAAAGCAGAGCAACAACUGUGUAAGGUUUGCAGUCCAUAA
rnacentral:lncRNA from 1 species